rnacentral:rRNA from 1 species
CUCUGUGACUCCUACGGGAGGCAGCAGUGGGGAAUAUUGCACAAUGGGCGCAAGCCUGAUGCAGCAACGCCGUGUGAGUGAAGAAGGUUUUCGGAUCGUAAAACUCUGUCCUAAGGGAGAAAAAAUGACGGUACCUUAGGAGGAAGCCCCGGCUAACUACGUGCCAGCAGCCGCGGUAAUACGUAGGGGGCAAGCGUUAUCCGGAAUCACUGGGCGUAAAGGGUGCGUAGGCGGCUUGACAAGCCAGGGGUGAAAGGCAUUGGCUCAACCAAUGUAAGCCUUUGGAACUGUUAAGCUUGAGUGCAGGAGAGGUAAGUGGAAUUCCUAGUGUAGAGGUGAAAUUCGUAGAUAUUAGGAGGAACACCAGUGGCGAAGGCGACUUACUGGACUGUAACUGACGCUGAUGCACGAAAGCGUGGGUAGCGAACAGGAUUAGAUACCCUGGUAG